rnacentral:rRNA from 1 species
GGAAGUAAAAGUCGUAACAAGGUCUCCGUUGGUGAACCAGCGGAGGGAUCAUUACCGAGUUUACAACUCCCAAACCCAAUGUGAACCAUACCAAACUGUUGCCUCGGCGGGGUCACGCCCCGGGUGCGUCGCAGCCCCGGAACCAGGCGCCCGCCGGAGGGACCAACCAAACUCUUUACUGUAGUCCCCUCGCGGACGUUAUUUCUUACAGCUCUGAGCAAAAAUUCAAAAUGAAUCAAAACUUUCAACAACGGAUCUCUUGGUUCUGGCAUCGAUGAAGAACGCAGCGAAAUGCGAUAAGUAAUGUGAAUUGCAGAAUUCAGUGAAUCAUCGAAUCUUUGAACGCACAUUGCGCCCGCCAGUAUUCUGGCGGGCAUGCCUGUCCGAGCGUCAUUUCAACCCUCGAACCCCUCCGGGGGGUCGGCGUUGGGGAUCGGGAACCCCUCAGACGGGAUCCCGGCCCCGAAAUACAGUGGCGGUCUCGCCGCAGCCUCUCCUGCGCAGUAGUUUGCACAACUCGCACCGGGAGCGCGGCGCGUCCACGUCCGUAAAACACCCAACUUCUGAAAUGUUGACCUCGGAUCAGGUAGGAAUACCCGCUGGACUUAAGCAUAUCAAUAAGCGGAGGA